rnacentral:lncRNA from 1 species
CUGUCCCCUGAAUGAUGGCACUAGCCUCCAUUCUCCUAGCCAUGUCUACUAUGGCGUGAAAAGUCUCUCUAUCUGCUGACUGUACCAAGGAGGAAUACCUGGGAUGGAGCUUCAUGAUAUACCUCCUCGACUUCUUCUGGUCUGUGCUAAGGUCUUGCCCAGCAAAUGGCAGCAACUCCAUAAACCUGUCGGUAUAUUCGUCUACACUCAUGUCAUCAGUUUGCC